GUUGAAUUGUGAAUUGUUGUUAAAUAAAUAAAACAAGCAUGCUUUUGCUCAAAAACAUGUGAUGGAUUAAUUAGAUGUUUUAGAGAUGCAACUGUAAGAUGGAAUACAUUUAUUAUUUCUGACUAAGUGCUAUUUAUUUAUAACACCAUAUUUAGAGAAAACUGCACUGAGAUCUCAGGCCUGAAGUGAAGAGCAGUGCUGGCAGGAUCAUGCUUUGCAGAAGGGAUCGAUGCUUUGGAGCUGGAGAUGGGAUGAAAUGCACAGUGGAGAUGUGAACUGAUGGACUGGAGUGCUGUGGAUUACUUGUGGAUUAUUGUGAUGUUUUUAUCAGCUGUUUGGACUCUCAUUCUGACGGCACCCAUUCACUGCAGAGCAUCCAUUCUACAAACCUGAUGAAGAAACAAGCUCAUCCUGAUCUCGGAUGACCUGAGGUGAGCCUAUUACAGGGGUUUUCUCUGGGUCCACAGGUCCACACUUUGAUCAGGAGGAUGAGGGAUUUAAAACGAGUGUUAAGGAACAGGAGGACGAGACCCAGGCUCUGCUGUCACGUUGUGAAUUUCCCAGUACGCUCCCUGCAGACACGAGCUUUGAUCUACCUGCACCCUGCGGCCGUCGCUGGAAGUCUUCAGCCUUUCUCCCACGGACCCAAGACAAAGACAGCCGAACAGGCAUGACUGACCGGUAGCCUCUAGCAAAGAGAGCGAUUCUGAUCAAAACAACGCAAUGCACAAUAGAUCUCAGCUCUUUAAUACGCUGUCAUUUCUCCAGAGGAAAGGAUUUCUGUAGCUUGCUGAAGUGAAAGCACUGAUGUAGAUAACAUAUCAAGCUAAGGAUGGUUUAUGUUAAUGCACUAAUCAUAUGUGAACAACUCAGGUCUGUAAUACCUGGAGGAAACUAGCCGUUAGCAUUCUUAUUCAUUCCAACAUUGAUUAUGAAAAUUAAAUAUGAAGUUAAAGGUUGGCUGAUAUUCAUAAACAGACACAGUCAGCCAUUUUCGGCUUUUAUUAUGGGGGAAAAUCUACAGAAUCCAGUUAAAUGGAUUUGUGUCUUAUAUUGAGUCAUUUAGCAACUACAAUAAUACAGUAAUUAUGUGGUAAAUGUGUUAAUCUGGGCUUAAAGUGCUAGAUUAGUAAACCAGAAGCAAACUUCAUGCGAGUACACAACACUAGGCUUGAAUGUUUGGCAAAUGCACUGCAAUGCAGUGUUCUCGUGUUCCUUUAAAUAAAUAAAUUAAUUAAAUGAAAACAGUUCUCAAGGGGGUGGUAGUGUUGCCUUCAGGUCUGCGUCAUUAAACCUGCUAUGCAAUUAUUCAGGUGAACAUAUUGUCUUCAAUUAACUUGAUCAGCAAGAUUCUCUUCAAGUGGUUUCAUGACAGCUCUUGAUCUUACAGGGAAAACCAACGUGAAAAAUAACAUGAGUUGAU
ensembl:lncRNA